UACGUAGGGGGCGAGCGUUGUCCGGAGUUACUGGGCGUAAAGGGCGCGCAGGCGGUCUGGGAAGUUUGGAGUGACAGUGCUCGGCUUAACUGAGCAAGGCCUUCGAAAACUGCUAGACUUGAGCACUCAAGAGGGACAUAGAAUUCCGGGUGGAGUGGUGAAAUGCGUAGAUAUCCGGAGGAAUACCAAAGGCGAAGGCAGUGUCCUGGGGAGUGUCUGACGCUCAGGCGCGAAAGCUAGGGGAGCGAACAGG
rnacentral:rRNA from 1 species